AGACAUCUGAGGGCUCCAGCUUUGUGAUUUUGGCACAUUUUUUCCCAUUUCUUUUGGUGAGAAAAAUGAAGCUCAGAGAGAUUAAGUGACCUGUGCAAGAUUGCCUAGCCAGUAAGGGUGGAUUCUACGCUGCUCAUGGUAAAUCUGGACUCUUCUCUGUGACAGUCUGCCAAACACCUGGUUAUGCAUCCUUCCUUGUCAUUCCUGAAGUGAAAAAUGAAGGCAAGAAAUGCUCCUGAAGUGAAGAAUCAGAAGACACUAAGGAUCAUGUGAAAGAGCUCCCUGAGGACAGAUUAAGAGGAGAUGAGUUAAAGCUGCAAAUACCAAGAUUUAAGAUGAAAUUAAGAAUGCUGAUCAGCUAAAGGACCUUCACAUACAAAGGUUAUCCUGGAUUAUUCAGGUGGGCUCAACGUAAUCACAAGGAUCCUUUAAAGUGGAAGAAUGAGGUCAGAGUGAUGUGAUGUGAAAAGCACUCAAUUUGCCUUUGCUAGUUUUGAAGAUGGAAGAAUGGGGCCAUGGUCCAAGGCAUGCUGGUGACCUCUAGAAGCUGAAAAAGUUAAGAAAAUGGAAAAGAAACUUCAGCGCAGUGAGGCCCAAUUUGGACUUCUGACUCCAGAACUGCAAGAUAAUACAUUUGUAUCCAUUAAGCCACUAAGUUUGUGCUAAUUUGCUAUGGCAGCAACAGGAGACUAAUACACCUUGGCAGCCCUAUUUGCAUCACCUUGCGGGUACUGGGGUUUGGAGGAAUUGGCUCAGAUGCUGAUACCGUGGCUACUACUAUUGUGGUGUCUUGGUCCAUUGUGCUGCUAUAAUAGAAUACAUGAGACUUGACAAUUUAAAAUGAACAGAUAUUUAUCGGCUCAGAGUUCUGGAGGCUGGGAAGUACAAUAUCAAGAUGCUGGCUGUUUGCGAGGGUCUUCUUGCUACAUCAUUUCAUGGCAGAAGAUUUGGAUGGCAAAUCGUCUUUCUGCAAUUGUUUUAUGGCUGCCAUUGCAAUUAAGAAAUGGAAAAUAAAUUUCUGAAAUCCAA
rnacentral:lncRNA from 1 species